GCCCUCGUAGCUUAAUUGGAUAAAGCAGGCCCGUCCUAAGGGCAAGACUAUCCGUUCAAGUCGGAUCGAGGGCACAA
rnacentral:tRNA from 1 species